rnacentral:rRNA from 1 species
AUUGAACGCUGGCGGCAGGCCUAACACAUGCAAGUCGAACGAGUGGCGGACGGGUGAGUAAUGUCUGGGAACCUGCCCGAUGGAGGGGGAUAACUUCUGGAAACGGUAGCUAAUACCGCAUACCAUCGGAUUUGCCCAGAUGGGCUUAGCUAGUAGGUGGGGUAAAGGCUCACCUGGGCGACGAUCCCUAGCUGGUCUGAGAGGAUGACAAGCCACACUGGAACUGAGACAGGGUCCAGACGCCUACGGGAGGCAGCAGUGGGGAAUAUUGCACAAGGGGCGCAAGCCUGAUGCAGCCAUGCCGCGUGUAUGAAGAGGGCCUUGGGGUGGUAAAGUACUUUCAGCGGGGAGGCGUUACCCGCAGAAGAAGCACCGGCUAACUACGUGCCAGCAGCCGCGGUAAUUC